UAGGAAAGUCAUAAAUAUAUAAAUUAAAAUAUAUUAUUAUCCAUCAUAAUAAUAACAAACAGUAAAAUUAUAAAAUUAUAAAAUUAUAAAAUUAUAAAAUGAGAGUAAAAUAAUGUGAUAGUGGAUAAUAAUAUAUUUUAUAAUAAAGUAAUAAAUAUAAAUAAAUAAUAAUGGAAAUAUAAUACUUAUAUAAUUAACAUUUAUAAAAAUAAGUAUAGUAUAUAACUUAAUAAAUAUAAAUUAAACAAAUAUAAAAAAAAUCCUUUUUUUUUUAUAUAAUAGGUAUUUCAACCACUCAUAUUAAUAUGUUUAGGUUGUACUUAUAAUAAUAGUUAUAUAUAUAUAUUUAUAUUAUUCUUAUAUAAAUAUGUAAAGAAUAAUAUAUUAAUUAUAUAUAUUAAAAAAAAAUUUAAUAUAUAAUUAAAUAAUAUUACGUAUUCCCUAAAUUAUUAUGUAUAUAAUUUUAAUAAUUAAUGGGAGAGUAAUUAUAAUAUACAAAAAUAUGCUUAA
rnacentral:RNase_P_RNA from 1 species